UAGUCCUACGGGGGGCAGCAGUGAGGAAUAUUGGUCAAUGGCCGAGAGGCUGAACCAGCCAAGUCGCGUGAGGGAAGACUGCCCUAUGGGUUGUAAACCUCUUUUGUCAGGGAGCAACGCCGGCUACGUGUAGCCGGACUGAGAGUACCUGAGGAAAAAGCAUCGGCUAACUCCGUGCCAGCAGCCGCGGUAAUACGGAGGAUGCGAGCGUUAUCCGGAUUUAUUGGGUUUAAAGGGUGCGUAGGCGGAAUGCCAAGUCAGCGGUAAAAUCGCGGGGCUCAACCUCGCUCCGCCGUUGAAACUGG
rnacentral:rRNA from 1 species